ACGGUACCGGUUCCCGUUGGUGCGCAAACUCCGCGCCCAUCGACCCGGCGACC
rnacentral:ncRNA from 1 species